rnacentral:other from 1 species
UCAACCCUGCUGUGUGCGUGUGCCGCCAACCGGUUUUGAGCCAACACUCACAAAACGGGGUCCAAUCUUGCGAGUGUGACGUGAUAGGCCCGAGCCAAGACGGAGCACCCGAGUAGGAACCCAACCUGCGAAGGCAGGUUCAAAACUUCGCAGCACACGGCACGGUGGGGUGAA